CCUGGCUCAGGACGAACGCUGGCGACGCGCCUAACACAUGCAAGUCGAACGAGCGAGAGGACGUUUACUUUCUCUAGCGAGUGGCGAACGGGCGAGUAACGCGUGAAGAACCUGCCUCACAGAGGGGGACUAGAGUUGGAACCGACUGCUAAUACAGCAUAACCCCACGACCCGGCUUCGGGUAGAGGGAAAAAGAGCAAUCCGCUUUGAGAUGGCCUCGCGUCCGAUUAUCUAGUUGGUGAGGUAAUGGCCCACCAAGGCGACGAUCGGUAGCCGGACUGAUAGGUUGAACGGCCACCUUGGGACUGAGACACGGCCCAGACUCCUACGGGAGGCAGCAGUGGGGAAUAUUGCACUAUGGGGGAAACCCUGAUGCAGCGACGCCGCGUGGAGGAAGAAGGUCUUCGGACUGUAAACUCCUGUCGGUGAGGAAGAUAAUGACGGUACUCAACAAGGAAGUGACGGCUAACUACGUGCCAGCAGCCGCGGUAAAACGUAGGUCACAAGCGUUGUCCGGAAUUACUGGGUGUAAAGGGAGCGCAGGCGGUAAGACAAGUUGGAAGUGAAAUCCAUGGGCUCAACCCAUGAACUGCUUUCAAAACUGUUUUUCUUGAGUAGUGCAGAGGUAGGCGGAAUUCCCGGUGUAGCGGUGGAAUGCGUAGAUAUCGGGAGGAACACCAGUGGCGAAGGCGGCUUACUGGGCACCAACUGACGCUGAGGCUAGAAAGUGUGUGUAGCAAACAGGAUUAGAUACGUUGGUAGUACACACCGUAAACGAUGAUUACUAGGUGUUGGAGGAUUGAACCCUUCAGUGCCGCAUAUAACACAAUAAGUAAUCCAAGUGGGGAGUACGACCGCAAGGUUGAAACUCAAAGGAAUUGACGGGGGCCCGCACAAGCAGUGGAGUAUGUGGUUUAAUUAGACGCAACGCGAAGAACCUUACCAAGUCUUGGCAUCAUGCGACGCACAUAGAAAUAUGUGUUUCGUUCGGGACGCAGAGACAGAUGGUGCAUGGUAGUCGUCAGCUCGAGUCGUGAGAUGUUGGGUUAAGUCGAGCAACGAGCGCAACCCUUAUGGUCAGUUAGUACAGCAAGAGGACUCUGGCCAGACUGCCGUUGUCAAAACGGAGGAAGGUGGGGAUGACGUCAAAUCAUCAUGCCCUUUAUGUCCGGGGCUACACACGUGUUACAAUGGCGGGAACCAAAGAGAAGCAAGACCGAGAGGUGGAGCAAAACUCAGAAACAAUGUCACAGUUGGGACUGCAGGCUGCAACUCGCCCGCGAGAAGUGGGAAUUUAUAGUAAUCGCAGAUCACCAGGCUGCGGUGAAUAGGUUCCCGGCCUUGGUACACACCGCC
rnacentral:rRNA from 1 species